rnacentral:rRNA from 1 species
GAUGAACGCUGGCGGCGUGCUUAACACAUGCAAGUCGAACGAAGCAUUUGCGACAGAUUUUUUCGGAAUGAAGUUGCUUAUGACUGAGUGGCGGACGGGUGAGUAACGCGUGGGUAACCUGCCUUGUACUGGGGGAUAGCAGCUGGAAACGGCUGGUAAUACCGCAUAAGUGCACAAUGUUGCAUGACAUGGUGUGAAAAACUCCGGUGGUAUAAGAUGGACCCGCGUCUGAUUAGCUAGUUGGUGAGAUAACAGCCCACCAAGGCGACGAUCAGUAGCCGACCUGAGAGGGUGACCGGCCACAUUGGGACUGAGACACGGCCCAGACUCCUACGGGAGGCAGCAGUAGGGAAUAUUGCACAAUGGAGGAAACUCUGAUGCAGCGACGCCGCGUGAGUGAAGAAGUAAUUCGUUAUGUAAAGCUCUAUCAGCAGGGAAGAUAGUGACGGUACCUGACGAAGAAGCGCCGGCUAAAUACGUG